rnacentral:lncRNA from 1 species
UCCCUAUUGCCUUGGGAAGAAGAUGCCUUGCUUCCCCUUUGCUUUCUGCCAUGAUUGUUAGUUUCGUGAGGCCUCCCCAGCCAUGCUGAACCGUGAGUCAAUUAAACCUCUUUACUUUAUAAAUUACCCAGUAUCAGGCAGUACUUUAGAGCAGUGUGAAAAUGGACUAAUACAAUUCAAAUGCUUUUUCCGGAUCUUUUGAAAUUAUCAUAUGAUAUAUCCUCAUUCUGAAUCCCCACCAAAUGGAAAAUGCCAACUGCUAUCACAUAGACCUCGGAGAAGGAAGACCUGGGGACUGAACUCUGGUCUCUGUUCUUCAUUCUGCAUUUCUUCCUGAGGGGCCUGGAGAGAAUCACACCCUUGGGCCAAACCAAUGUCUAACCUCCAUGUAUUGAUUUAUGAUUUUUCCUACAACUUCUGCUCUCCUGGAAUGUAUCCUUACCUUGAAAAACCCUUGCUUAUAAGCCAUC